AAACUAAAGUAAAGAAAUAGAAGUAAAGUUUGACGAGACUAGGUGGCGUUUCUCCUCAUGGUUUUGGAGGAGCUGGUGUGUAAACCAGAGCACGCU